CACCCAGUGGCAAAAGCUUUAUGUACUGCUGGAAUUGAGACAACAUUAAUUCAAGACUCUGCAGUGUUCCCCAUCAUGUCACGUGUCAACAAGGCCAUCAAAGGUCAUCGUUGGCACCGAGACGGUGGUGACCAACGGAGGCAUUGAGACCUUUGUUGGUGCAGCCUCUCUUGCCUCACCACCAAAGUUUUAUUCUGUUCCACUGUAUGUGUGCACUCCCACAUACAAAUUUAGCUUGAUGGGCUGUGAAGAAACAAGCCACCAAACCACCACUUCUAUUAUCCCAGAGGGAACAAAGUUUUGGCCGUCUGUAAAUACUGCGCUGACUCAGCUAGAUUACGUUCCUCCAGAAAAUGUCACCAGUUUGAUAACUAACAAUCGAGGUACUGCACCAUCCUACGUGUACCGGCAGCUUAGCGAACUGUACCGUCCCACUUCUUGUGUAACAAGAAGGUAACAGCUUUAAUCCUUGCAAAUAAGGAAUAAGAGAAAAGAGACACACCUGCCAUUUGUACUGUUAUGCUGUAGUGUUCUGUCAUUUUUUUCCUCUUUUAUCCUAGAACCAUUUUUGGUCAUUCAUGUUUCUAAAAAUUAUUAUACAAAAAUGUUGAGCUUAAUAUGUUUGGUGUAGUUUUUUGUAACAUGUGUUAUUAUUGUUAAUGUGUGUGGUUCCCCUCAGGAAGAAUGUUGCAGUAUUAGCAGUAAUGUUACAGCCAAUGGAAGUGUCUGUAUUGUGCUUUGGUGGGAGGUUAAUUUGAUGUAUUUUUAGAGUUGUGCAGGAUAUUAUAGCAAGCCCUCAAAAUAAAGAAAAUAACUAUAGAAAACA